AGUGAACGCUGGCGGUAGGCCUAACACAUGCAAGUCGAACGGCAGCACAGUAAGAGCUUGCUCUUACGGGUGGCGAGUGGCGGACGGGUGAGGAAUACAUCGGAAUCUACUUUUUCGUGGGGGAUAACGUAGGGAAACUUACGCUAAUACCGCAUACGACCUACGGGGGAAAGCAGUGGAUCGUCGGACCUUGCCCGAUUGAAUGAGCCGAUGUCGGUUUAGCUAGUUGGCGGGGUAAAGGCCCACCAAGGCGACGAUCCGUAGCCGGUCUGAGAGGAUGAUCAGCCACACUGGAACUGAGACACGGUCCAGACUCCUACGGGAGGCAGCAGUGGGGAUUAGUGGACAAUGGGCGCAAGCCUGAUCCAGCCAUACCGCGUGGGUGAAGAAGGACUUCGGGUUGUAGAGCCCUUUUGUUGGGAAAGAGAAGCAGCAGGUUAAUACCCCGCUGUUCUGACGGUACCCAAAGAAUAAGCACCGGCUAACUUCGUG
rnacentral:rRNA from 1 species